UACGUAGGGGGCGAGCGUUGUCCGGAGUUACUGGGCGUAAAGGGCGUGCAGGCGGUGCGGUAAGUUUAGCGUGACAGUCUCCGGCUUAACUGGAGAAGGCCGCUGAAAACUGCUGGACUUGAGGGCCAGAGAGGGACAUAGAAUUCCGGGUGGAGUGGUGAAAUGCGUAGAUAUCCGGAGGAAUACCAAAGGCGAAGGCAGUGUCCUGGCUGGCAACUGACGCUGAGGCGCGAAAGCUAGGGGAGUGAACAGG
rnacentral:rRNA from 1 species